CGAGUCCGAGUCUCCACGGAGACGAAGUGGCGGUCAUCCAGCUUCCUAGAAAAGCUCUAACCACGUUAAUCUUUAGUUGCCUGUACUCGAAACCGACACAGGUAGGGGGGUAGAGAAUACCAAGGGGCGCGAGAUAACUCUCUCUAAGGAACUCGGCAAAAUGACCCCGUAACUUCGGGAGAAGGGGUACCACUGAGAAGUGGUCGCAGUGAAGAGGCCCAGGCGACUGUUUACCAAAAACACAGGUCUCCGCCAAGUCGCAAGACGAAGUAUGGGGGCUGACGCCUGCCCAGUGCCGGAAGGUUAAGGAAGUGGGUUAGGGAUUCGUCCCGAAGCUGACGACUGAAGCCCCGGUGAACGGCGGCCGUAACUAUAACGGUCCUAAGGUAGCGAAAUUCCUUGUCGGGUAAGUUCCGACCCGCACGAAAGGCGUAACGAUCUGGGCGCUGUCUCGGAGAGAGGCUCGGCGAAAUAGGAAUGUCUGUGAAGAUACGGACUACCUGCACCUGGACAGAAAGACCCUAUGAAGCUUUACUGUAGCUUGGAAUUGGGUUCGGGCUUGGUUUGCGCAGGAUAGGUGGGAGGCGAAGAAGAUUUGCUUGUGGGUGAAUCUGAGCCAACGGUGAGAUACCACUCUAACCAGGCUAGAAUUCUAACUUCAACCCGUCAACCGGGGGAAGGACAGUUUCAGGUGGGCAGUUUGACUGGGGCGGUCGCCUCCUAAAAGAUAACGGAGGCGCACAAAGGUUCCCUCAGGCUGGUUGGAAAUCAGCCAACGAGUGCAAAGGCAGAAGGGAGCUUGACUGCGAGACCUACAAGUCAAGCAGGGUGGAAACACGGUCUUAGUGAUCCGACGGCACCGAGUGGAAGGGCCGUCGCUCAACGGAUAAAAGUUACUCUAGGAUAACAGGCUGAUCUCCCCCAAGAGUUCACAUCGACGGGGAGGUUUGGCACCUCGAUGUCGGCUCAUCGCAACCUGGGGCGGAAGUACGUCCCAAGGGUUGGGCUGUUCGCCCAUUAAAGCGGUACGUGAGCUGGGUUCAGAACGUCGUGAGACAGUUCGGUCCAUAUCCGGUGUAGGCGCAAGAACAUUGAGAGGAGUCUUCCUUAGUACGAGAGGACCGGGAAGAACGCACCGCUGGUGUACCUGUUAUCGUGCCAACGGUAAACGCAGGGUAGCCAAGUGCGGAGUGGAUAACCGCUGAAAGCAUCUAAGUGGGAAGCCCACCUCAAGAUGAGUGUUCUCAUGGAGUAAUCCAGUAAGGUCACGGGAAGACGACCCGUUGAUAGGCGGUAGGUGGAAGUUCAGCAAUGGAUGAAGCCGAGCCGUACUAACAGACCGAGGGCUUGAC
rnacentral:rRNA from 1 species